rnacentral:sRNA from 1 species
GGUGAUUCCAGUUUCAGUGUCUGCAGGCCUUAUUUCCUUAAAGAAUCCUCUGAUGCUAUAGAGGAGAAAUGGGAACAGUGACAUGAUUUUGGAUCUGUUCCUGCUCAAAUCCAGCAGUAGAAGCAAGGCACGUCUACUAUGGAUUAAGCACAGCUAUUUUUGCGCCAUCUUCAAUCGCAGGCUUGGAAUUUGUAUCAAUAUGUCUUCACUUCAUAUCAUCGAUUCCCCGAGGCCUUUAACUGAAAUGUAAGAAAAGACCAUAAGUAAUAGAACACUGAACACUAUUGUUCAACCAGCAGCUGCUGCCACAUCUAAAUAAUGUGGUUAAUGUCCCAGAUUAAAAUAAAUUGGUGAUAAUAAAAGUUGAUUUGGUAACAGUAGGUGCAAACAAUGGUAUGAAAAAAUAAAGUUUGUUCCCAGUGCACUCUGGCCUAUAUCCCCCCUCUGCUUACCUGAUAUUUAAAGUUGACCAGCAGGGAUACACGUAGACACCACACUUCUCCCUUUCUAGGAAGAGUUUAUCCCUGAAUGGUUCACAAUCAUAUCUUAGUGCUUUAUAUGUCUAUAACAAUCUGAUGAGUAGAAUGUGAAAGGAGGCUGGGCAUAAAGAAUUUCAGAAGUCAGUUCUAGGGAAACAUACAGGAAUUAUUAUUGCCCCUCACCAGAAUUCAAACUGUGCAACUUCAAAAAUCUCAGCCUUCAGGAAACAAACUGCAAUGCAAGCUCAGUUGUCAUGUGAUCGGUUGUCAUGUGAUCAGUCGUCAUGUGAUCAGUUGUCUCGCCUACCUCCUUUGCCUGCCUGCAAGCUUGUAGGCAAGUGGGAGUGGACAGAGGCGGCUAAGUGAGGGCUUCACUCGGGGCCAAAAUUGCACGCAGCACUUACAUGAACUCCAUGUUAAUAUGCUCAUCUAGAGUAGAAUAAUGAAUUGGAGUGUAUUUGAUAUCGAUGGUAGAUGUUAUUAUUUGGUAAACUCUGCCAAGAGACUUUAAAGUGGAACCUCUGAAACCACUGGCUCAAUUACAGAUCCAACAUCAGUGGCCUGGCAUUCAGAAAAUGUGAUAUCACUAAGCAACUCUGAGGAAUCUUCCAAAGGGUCCACACCUUUCGCUCAGGGAUUUCCUUGGAUGCUGUACACAGGCGCUGCUGCAGAGCAAGCCAUGCUCCCACACUGGGGCAGACAGUAGGAUUUAUUCUCUCAGUUGGCGUCUGCGUGUUACCAGAUCGGGGGGCUUUGUCUCUUCCUCUUACUAGAUAAGUUGAAACAUUGACAGGCAGCGUGUUCCUCUUCUUCCCCUUUUAUUACAGUAAUUUAUAAGAUAUUUUAGCUAACAGGAGAACGGCCCAAGGGGGCAUUCUCAUGUUAAUUACCAAAUGUGGGCUUGUCAAAAUCAAAUAGCUCCAGGAACUAUGCGAGUAGCUCUGCGUCGCUGGCUUGUUUGGCCCUCAACCCAGUAUUAGCUACUUUUAAAAAUCUGGGUUCAUUAGGCUUUUACUGUAGAAGAAGAAUCACUACCCGGGGCUUUCGGUGGAAGCCGAGGCUCUGUCAGCAGCUUAAGGGUUUAAUGUAAAUGACAUUAAAAAAUAGUUUCAUAUAACAUACUCGGGGAAAAGUAAAGCAAAACAAAGCAAGAAAGAGCCAUGCUCCGGAGAGUCGAUCAUUCCUUUUUCCUGGUUCUCGCAAUGUGACAAUGAGGAUAAUAUUCACUACAGAAUGCUCUGAGGAGGGUGCAGGUCCUGUUUUAUUUGGAAACAGCUUCUCAUCACUGAGUAGUCUUGGGCUGGUGAGUUCAAGGCAAUUGAACAAGUCAAGUUUUCUAAAACUCUAAUCCUGACAUAGAGGGUUCUGUGCAUGACGUUUCUUAUAGCAAGCCCUGAAUCCUAACCCAAGAUUUUCUUGUUGGGAUGAGGCCCAGUCACCUGAGCUGAUCUGCCCUGUUCAUGGGCCUCUUAUGAGUCCCUCCAUGAUUUCCUUUUUCUAUCUGUAGCUUCUCUCACCCAGUGCAGAAUCUUGGGCAGGAGGAGAUAUUAAAACACUAACACCUUUCUCUCCAGUUCCAGCCCUGCUCUUGACUGCCUAAGAGAGUCAAUGUUGGUGACAAUGUCAAGGAA